UGCCUAGUACACUGGAGUUCAACACAUUCAGAAAUCAGCCUGCCUCGGUGGUGGUGGGGUUGCUGAACCACACAGCGAGAACAUGGGCCCUGUGUAAAAAGCUCCCAGCCUCCCUGCGUACGGAAGACAGCACUGACCCAGAGCUGAGCAAAGGGCAGGCUACAACCCCUGCCACCUCUGAGCUGGGCCUUUCAGCCACAGCCCCAUGUCAUUCAUGGUUGAAGUCCUGCUGCCGCAGGGCCACACAAGGUUGUUGCAGCGCAAGCCCACUCUGGCCACACUGUGAGUUGGAGAGAGCUUUGAAGCCAUCAAGGAGGGAGAAAGCACGAGUUCUUUCAUAUCAAGCUCACCCAGCUCUCUGGUGGUUCCCAGGACACAACCUAGCCUUCCUCUCUCGAUGCCUCUGGAGAUGUCCUUCGGUUGGUGCUUUGGCCUCAAGAGUGUGGAAAAUCUGUUCUUCCAGCUUCAUCCAGAUGGAAACUGUGUCCUGAGGUGAAUGGUUCCCCUCAAGCUGUCUUCACAACAAAACAGACCCUGAGCCCUACCAGAGGGAGGAGGAAAAAAAGACCAAAAACACUGUGAAUUAAGAAAUUUGUCAGAAGAAAAGGGGGGACCACUCGCUGAGUUUGCUCUCUCGGCCUCUCACCAAGGACCUCAGGACCUGGAGUCUUCCUCAGCCUUGGGCUAUAGGCUGCUCACUUCCCUCUCUGGGCCUCAUGUUUUCCUCAGAGACGGCAGCUCCCCAUCCCCCUCGGCAGGCCUGCAGCUUCGUGCACUUGCUUUCCCAGCACCAACACAGCACCCCCUACAUAGUGGGUGCUCAGACCCCUUUUGGUGAGUACAUUCGUGAAAUUCUGAGACCCAGAAUUCUCCCUGAGACCAGGUUCUGAGAACCUCUGGAGGUUGCCUCCAGAGUCCUUUGGAAUCAAACCCAUUUUCUCCUGGGAAGCAUAGCUCUCAGCUUAGGAAAGUACAGGUGCCACAAUGUGGGAACAGAAGCUACAGUGAGAUCAGAGCAGAUGAUAUCUAGAGAACCUCCUAAAAGGAAAAGUAUGUGUCAAAAUAUAAUGGGUAAUUUUGCAAUGUGAUAGAAAGUGUUGUUCCACGUUUUCAACCCCAGCUUUUAUUUGGGUUAAAAACUUUUCUGUUUCCUUUGCCUGAGUCUGAGACUUACAUCCUGGCUUAGAUACUUAUGCUGUACAUGUAUGUGUGUAUAUGUAUGUCUAAGUCUGUAUAUAUGCAUAUAUGUACACUCUGAUCAUAAUCACAGCACCGUUGAGGCCUCUGAGGUGAUCCCCCAAUAAAUAACAUUUCUCUUCCCUAUCCA
rnacentral:lncRNA from 12 species